AAUGUACAAGACUUAAGAUUCAAUUGUGUGUUUCUUCACCAAAUAAUGGAUAAAGACAAAAUUUCAAUGGGAAAACGACGUAAAUGGUUGGUGUUUUAUAAAGAAGCUUGUGAUCAUCGACUGCAUCAAUUGGAACAACUAUUUCCUCAAUGUUGCAACCAUAAGCCACUGGUGUCAACUUGAUGAUGGUAUGUAAUGGAGUUUUGAUUACUGGCAUCUCAGCUAAGGAAGGGAAAGGAGAAGGAGGAAUACAAAGUCUAAGAUCAAUCAUGUAAAUUGUGACUGAUUUGUUCAAUGGAUCAUUUCAAAUAUUUAAUCAGAAUCAACACAAUCUAUUAGUCAACAAUGGACAACAAAGCGACUCGUAACUACAAGCAAUACUAUUAAAAGAAAUGACUAGCUCUUUCAAAAUUUCGAUAUACUGUUUAUAAGAUUUGAAGUACUUUGAAGAGGAAGAAAUUGGGAUUCAAAGACUUUACUAACCUCUCCUUUUGGAUAACGAUAAUGAAACUUGUCCUGAUCACGCAAUGCGAACUCUUCUGGAUACUUCUCUUGAAUUUCUUCAUAAGUCAUUUCCUCGCAAAUUCCGGCGUCAAUUUCAUUGAGAGCCUUCCAUCUUUCCUGAGGAGCUCGAAUACUUUCAGCUGUUUGAAUGGUUCGUUUCAGUUGAGAUGUCCAUACUCGUAGACGUGGAAUUUUUUGCUCUGAAAUAUAUUGAGCUAAAGCUUUAGCAUAUUGACAUCCUCUUUCAGAAAGCUCGGAGUCACCGCCAAUUCUUCCCUGUAGAUUGUAGACACUUUCACCAUGACGAGUUAAGUAAAUUGAUCUGGGUGUAAUGUGAAUGUUCAUCAAGUAAUAAACCACUCUUGACUGUAUGUGGCCUUCGUGACGAUGAACUAAAACCUUUUCUCCAGCAUUAAAAAUCUUCAUAAAAGAAUAAUCCUUUUCUUUAUCUUCCUCUAGUGUUUGAUAUGCUUCCUUGUAGUGCUCAAUACGUUGGAGGAAAUCCUGUAAUGCCUUAUCUUGAGCCAUGUUACGAUAAUCCGGACUAUGAACUUUAACCUCCUGUAAUGAAAAUGUUUACAUUAAAAUGGUGAAGGAGUUUAGGAUGCAAGUGAUCGCAGUGUAAUGGUGAAAAAUGUGAACCAUUGUUUUAAGGAUUUCGGUGACAGUUAAUCUAGAAUUGAUGAUCUGGAUGAUUUCCGAAUAGAUAUCUAGAAUCAACAAGAUAAUCACAUCUAGAUUCAUGUCAGUAUGAUUGAGCAGAAAAAGCACAUAACUUUUCUUUUAUUCUGCCAAUAAAAACUGGUUGGAGACAAUAAAAAUUGAAUCCAGACAAGUUAUGACAAGUCUUCAUCCUGUUCUUGGUGCGAUGUUAAUCAAAAUCAAUUAUCUCUGUCAUCACUAGGAAAAGAGUCAAGCGUCACCAACACACCUUUGUAAUUAAUCAGUUGCUAACGAAAAGCUAAUUUCGAUUAAUUCAGACAAUGUUAAAGUUUUCCUCAUUACCAACAUAAUUAUUUUCUUUAUCAUUUUUCUCAGGUGCUCUUAUUUACAUAAAUAGAUGUUCGAAAGUUCUUGGCAUGAUUUUACUUUUGCUUCAACAGUUGGUACUGUUUUGUUUGGCAAAAUGAAUUCGAGGCUAAUUUUAUAAAAGCUAAUAGCUGCGAUUGAAAAUUUCGGUAAAGCAUUGAGAAAAUUUUCCUGGGAAAUGAAACACACUUGAAAUUCACUCAUUUCUUAAAGGCUGAUAAAGGCGGGAUGAUAAUUGCAAAGUAAAAUUGGGGCAAAGCAAAGAUAUCUUCUGACCCGAAUAUUGGCUUCAACAAUCUCUGGAUCUUCACAGAUUGAUUCAACGAAAAACAAUUUGUAGCCAUAUUUUUCAACAACAAAAUCGUAAAUCAACUGGCGCCGGUAAAAAGUUGUAUUGGUAGCAUCGUAAACGGCCACUUCACCGUUACCCUCAGUCAGCCAGCUACACAUAUCUUCAAGGGCAUCUAAAGCACACUUACUGGAAAAUAAAAGAUAUUUCAAUCAUUAUUAAGUUACAUAAUAAUCAGAGGUCUAAAGAAAUCAUGAUUUUUGUAAGCUUCAGUUGCUUGACGACGAUAUUCACCGACAUUAAACACCCGAGUUUUUAUUCCAAUCCAGUUAAGGUAUCGAGUCAACUUUUUGGCAAUAUACGUUUUACCCCUGGCAGGCAA